GUCCACGUAGUUCAGCAGGAUAGAACGCCAUCCUCCUAAGAUGGAUGUCGGGGGUUCGAAUCCCUCCGUGGACA
rnacentral:tRNA from 1 species